rnacentral:rRNA from 1 species
AACGUAGGUGGCAAGCGUUAUCCGGAUUUACUGGGCGUAAAGCGUGUGCAGACGGGGCUUCAAGUGGUGUAUGAAAUCGCUCGGCUCAACCGGGCGCGGGUAUGCCAGACUGGAGUGCUAGAGGGUGCGAGAGGGACGUGGAAUUCCGGGUGUAGUGGUGAAAUGCGUAGAGAUCCGGAAGAACACCGGUGGCGAAGGCGGCCCGCUGGGCAGGAAGGCUCGCAAGAGCCGGCUGACGCUGAGGCGCGACAGCGUGGGGAGCAAACAGG